rnacentral:lncRNA from 1 species
UCGACAUCACACUAUUGGUUUAAAGCAUAGUGGAAGACAUGUAUCAAGAUGAUCUCCAAGGCAAAGUGAAACUGAUAGUUGUCUUGUGAAUGUGACAGAAGUGAUUAAGCCUGAAGUUUUUUCUGCUGCAAAUGUCCAUUUUCAGUUACACUGGUCCUUUGUGGACAGUUGAGGUAUCUGGUGAAUGCACAAGAUAGAUUAUAUGAUUUUCCAUAUAACUGUUG